rnacentral:rRNA from 1 species
CACGUAGGGUGCGAGCGUUUGUCCGGAAUUAUUGGGCGUAAAGAGCUCGUAGGCGGUGUGUCGCGUCGGCCGUGAAAACCUGCAGCUUAACUGUGGGCUUGCGGUCGAUACGGGCAUCACUGGAGUUCGGCAGGGGAGACUGGAAUUCCUGGUGUAGCGGUGAAAUGCGCAGAUAUCAGGAGGAACACCGGUGGGCGAAGGCGGGUCUCUGG